AGAGACUUAGGAUAGUAUUAGACCAAGGGCCUUCAAAGCCCUAAGCGGGAGUGAAAAUCUCCCAGUCCCUG
rnacentral:tRNA from 1 species